UCCUGGUUAGCUCAGUUGGUAGAACGCUCAACUGGAAAUGGAGAGGUGCCUGGUUCGAUACCAGGACCGGGCG
rnacentral:tRNA from 2 species